GCACAAAGUAUUAAAGGUAACGCCUGCCCAGUGAUAUUUAAACGGCCGCGGGAUCCUCACCGUGCAAAGGUAGCAUAAUCACUUGUCACCUAAAUAGUGACUAGUAUGAACGGCCAAAUGAAGAUUUUACUGUCUCUUGUAACCAGCCCAUGAAACUAUUCUUUCAGUCCAAAAACUGAAAUUAAAACAUAAGACGAAAAGACCCUGUGGAACUUAAACUACCACCCAAACAUAAUGGUCACACACUUUUAGUUGGGGCAACUUUGGAACAAAACAAAACUUCCAAUAACUACACUAGAGACAAACCUGUCGACACCGACCACCGACCCAGUAACACUGAUCAAAGAACCAAGCUACCCCAGGGAUAACAGCGCCAUCCCCUCAUAGAGCCCAAAUCGAAGAGCGGGGUUUACGACCUCGAUGUUGGAUCAGGGCCCCCAAACAGUGCAACAGCUGUUAAAGGUUUGUUUGUUCAACAACUAACGCCCUACGCGAUCUGAGUUAAGACCGGAGCAAUCCAGGUCGGUU
rnacentral:rRNA from 1 species